GGAGUAACUCUAAAUUAUAAAUGAUCAACUUUUCACCAGAGACAUGAAUAUUAUUUAUCAUGAAAAUUAAGUUUUCUAACCAUGCUAUUUCAACUGCAAUAUUUCUUGGGAGUUGAUGUUCAUCUGUUUUUUUGCAGGCUGAAUGAGCAUGUUAACCUUGAGUCCAUGGUGGAAAUUUGGAGGUCAUAUCAGUAUUGGUUGCUUGUUCUGUUGUCUCACAUUUUGUUACUACUUAAAUAGAAAAUUGUAGUUUAUACCUGAGGGUUUUACCUCUGUAUUCUAUUGUUAUAAUAGUUUGUUGUCAUUCAUUGAUUUUGCAAUAAAGAAUUGGGUCCUGCUUAUAUAUAC